AUGGCUGUUUGGCUGAGCACAACUGCCCCGCUGGGAUUUGAAGAAUCCACCAUCCUUCAGUUUCUCUGCAGGCAUUCAUGGCAGGUGAUGUUCAUACUGGUUGUGGUCAAUUUAUUUCGGCAGAUCUUGGAGGCUGGUACUCCCAUUUCUUACUUCGGAAAUGCUUCAACUGAUAAUUUCCGAUGGCCUCUGGACAGGCUUACCCUGUGUGGUCAGCAUUUGCGAGAUCAGGGUGCCAGCAUGGCUACUUACAGUUUAAGAAGCUUUGUUCGCAAUGACAGUGAAAGGUUUCCAUUUUCUUCUUCUUUUUCCCUGGCUGUUUCUACUUUUCUUCUGUUCUCACCUCCUGCCAGCGUGACUCAUGAAAAUGAGACAAGGCUUGUACAAGAGCAGGGAGUCCCCAUGGACGCGGUGGAGUCCUCGUCGCCCUACUCGCCUCCCGAGCUGCGCCACAAGCUGCGGACCACCGUAUGCGGCUGCUUCGGCUCGCCUUCUUCACCGGUCACCGGCGCGGGGAGGCCGCACACCGGUGGCGGCAGGGCCAGGAGGAGGCGAUGCGUGGCAGCCAUGGGGGAGUUCAGGUACGACCCGCUCAGCUAUGCGCUCAACUUCGACGAGGGCGGCAGCGACGACGACGCCUUCCGGUACAGGAACUUCAACUCGCGACUUCCGCCCUUGCCGACACCGGCUGCCCGGCGUCUCACCACGGUCGCCAUCGCCUGA
rnacentral:rRNA from 1 species